CAGUCGCCGCGGGAAAACGGAGGGGGCUAGCGUUGUUCGGAAUUACUGGGCGUAAAGCGCACGUAGGCGGCUUUGUAAGUCAGAGGUGAAAGCCUGGAGCUCAACUCCAGAAUUGCCUUUGAGACUGCAUCGCUUGAACGUCGGAGAGGUGAGUGGAAUUCCGAGUGUAGAGGUGAAAUUCGUAGAUAUUCGGAAGAACACCAGUGGCGAAGGCGGCUCACUGGACGACUGUUGACGCUGAGGUGCGAAAGCGUGGGGAGCAAACAGGAUUAGAUACCCCCGUAGUCCCUGUCUCUUAUAC
rnacentral:rRNA from 1 species